AUGGAGGCUUGGCCUCAGGCAUUGUAUCGUGCAACCCGACAUCGUAUCGCACUCUUCUAUGAUGAGCCAGUAAUAAUAAAGGAGCUUGUUGUUGGACCCCGUUACAUUGAUGUGUUAAUUCGUCUCAAUCCUAAUAGCCCGCAGUGGAGAGGAACUUUUGUGUAUGGAGAACCGAAGGCUCACGAGAGGCACCACAUGUGGGAAUUACUGAGAAGAAUUUGCAACAAUUCUGCUGAACCUUGGUUAAUGAUAGGUGAUUUCAAUGAGACCAUGUGGCAAAGUGAGCAUUUUUCUAGGUCUAAUCGAUCAGAAGGCAACAUGGCAGAUUUGAGGAGGGUUUUAGCGGACUGCAACCUGCAUGAUAUGGGAUUCAAGGGAACGUCCUGGACUUAUGAUAAUAAACAGAAGGGGAGGUCUGACCACGUCCCCCUUCUCCUCCGUUUUGGAUCCAGGAAAGAGUGGCGCCCUAUUAAAACCAGUUUUAGAUAUGAACAGAUGUGGGAGCGAGCUGGAAGUUUGACAGAGGUAGUAACUAAUGCGUGGACAGAAGGAGGAUCAGGACCUUCACUUGACAAAAUUGCCAAAAAACUCAGAAGCAUGCAUGAAAGCAGAGAGGAAAUUCAUGAGGAGAUUAACGAUUUUUUCCAAAGUCUGUACAGAAGGGAUGACAAAGUAAUACCCCAUGAGUUAAUUGAUCUAUUUACGAGGAGAGUGGAUGAUAAUAUGAAUGAUGCUCUUAUCAAACCGAUAACGGAAGAGGAAAUCGGCGAUGCUCUUUUUCAGAUUGGGCCACUCAAGGCCCCUGGGCCGGAUGGUUUUCCCGCUCGCUUCUUCGCCACUCAAGGAAGCAAGAAACAACGAGACACCCACUGUGCCUACAAGCUUGAUUUGGCCAAGGCUUGUGAUAGGGUUGAUUGGAACUGUUUAGAGGGCGUCCUGCAGAAAGUGGGGUUCGAUCAGAAGUGGAUCAGAUGGGUGAUGAUAUGCGUUAGAUCUGUCACGUUUUCGGUUAAGUGUAAUGGGGUGCUGUUGAAGGCUUUCAAACCAUCCAGCGGCAUGAGACAGGGUGAUCCAUUAAGCCCCUACCUCUUCUUAUUUGUGGCGGAGGGUUUAUCUAUGUUACUUGGCAUAGAAAUAGAUAGAGGCACCAUUACUCCCCUAUAG
rnacentral:rRNA from 1 species